GUGCCAGCCGCCGCGGUAAUACGGAGGGUGCAAGCGUUGUCCGGAAUCACUGGGUGUAAAGGGUGUGCAGGCGGGGCAACAAGUCGGAUGUGAAACCCCAUGGCUCAACCAUGGAGGUGCAUUCGAAACUGUUGCUCUUGAGUCCCGGAGAGGCUGUCGGAAUUCGUGGUGUAGCGGUGAAAUGCGUAGAUAUCACGAGGAACACCAGAGGCGAAAGCGGGCAGCUGGACGGGUACUGACGCUCAGGCACGAAAGCGUGGGGAGCAAACAGGAUUAGAUACCCGGGUAGUCC
rnacentral:rRNA from 1 species